GACGAACGCUGGCGGCGUGGAUUAGGCAUGCAAGUCGAACGGUAUCAUCCUUUCGGGGAUGAGAGAGUGGCGAACGGGUGAGUAACACGUAGGUGAUCUACCCUCAAGACGGGGACAACCCAGGGAAACUUGGGCUAAUACCGGAUGUGAGCUAUCGUGAGAUAGUUUGAAAGGUGGCUUCGGCUGCCGCUUGAGGAUGAGCCUGCGUCCUAUUAGCUAGUUGGUGAGGUAACGGCUCACCGAGGCAGUGAUAGGUAGGCGGCCUUAACGGGUGGUCGCCCACACUGGGAUUGAGAUACGGCCCAGACUCCUACGGGAGGCAGCAGUCGAGAAUAGUCUACAAUGGUCGGAAGACUGAUAGUGCGACGCCGCGUGAACGAUGAAUCCCUUCGGGUGUAAAGUUCUUUUAUAUGUGAGCAGUGCUUCUUAUAUUAACAGUAUGGGGAGAGAGAUAUUAGCAUAUGAAUAAGCAACGGCUAACUCCGUGCC
rnacentral:rRNA from 1 species